AAAGCUCUUAUGAGUUAUUGUAUGCUGAGAUAUAUGUGGACACACACACACACACACGCAGUUUAUUGCAUUGUUGGGUUUUAUACAUAAAAUUACCCAAGUUGCAAAUAUAUGUCUACCACCCUUGACUCUCAGGAUAGUGCAGCAGGAUGCAGCGGAACCCCCCUGACUUGCUGACAAGCGCAGACCAGUCUAGAAGUGGCCCUGUACAUGUUUCUGCGGAACCCUGACACUGAAGCUGUUCUGGUUGCCAUGUCCUGUUUCCGCCACCUCUGUGAGGAAGCAGAUACCCGGUGUGGGGUGGACGAAGUGUCGGUGCGUAACCUCUUGCCCAACUCUUAACACAUUCAUGGAGUUUGCCUGUCAGCAAUGUGAUGUCAACAGACUUGGGAAGAUACACAUGCAAAAUGGGAACAAGCAACAAAACUAAUCCUUAGCUAUCCAAAAGCCCAAAUGGAAGAUGGCCAGG
rnacentral:lncRNA from 1 species